GAUUUUUUGAAUUAAUAUUUACCAUAUUUCAGCCAAAUGUAGUUAAACGUCUAGAGUGUCGCCAUGUAACAUGCUAAAAAAGAGCCGUUAGCUUAUUUGCUGUUUUAUCUGUUGUCAAAGAAUUGGCGCUUUUUCAUUUGAAUUUGUCUUUGGCACAAGAGCCGUAAUAUCACAUUAAACCUAAUUAUGAGGCACUCAUAACAUAAUUUGGUUUUCUGUGUGAAUAGAUUUGCCAACUGACUCUUCAGUUACAUUGUGUAUUUACUGCACCGUGGUGUUAGUGAGAUUUUGGACAUUGAACAGCUUUAGCUAAUAUCAUCAGCGGCAUUAUGCUAGCUUACAUCCCUACCCCUCCUGGCCUCACCUGCUGUCCUUUUGUUUUUGUUUUUUUUGCUGCACAUUGAGAGACCACAUCUAUUCUGCAUUUCACCAGGAGUCAGCUGAUGGAUUGUGGGUUCAAGGUGUUAUGAUGAAAUGCAGCAUUCCAGUGCAUCCCAACCAUGCCUUUACAGUCAAGGUUUCUGACGGAGCUGAGUUUCUCUCUGACAGUCUGCUGAAAGUGUUUGCAAAGUGAUCGGGGGAACAGUGCACAAAGCUAAAGGAUGUAGCUGCCAUGAUGACAGAUGACAUUAAUGCUCAAAGGGAGUCUCAUCAAAGUGCUCCGCAUCUGUGUGAAAG
ensembl:lncRNA